AAGCUUGCUUUUUAAAGCUUAGUGGCGGACGGGUGAGUAACGCGUGAGCAACCUGCCUCUCAGAGGGGGAUAACGUUUUGAAAAGAACGCUAAUACCGCAUAACAUAUCGGAACCGCAUGAUUCUGAUAUCAAAGGAGCAAUCCGCUGAGAGAUGGGCUCGCGUCCGAUUAGUUAGUUGGUGAGGUAACGGCUCACCAAGACUACGAUCGGUAGCCGGACUGAGAGGUUGAUCGGCCACAUUGGGACUGAGACACGGCCCAGACUCC
rnacentral:rRNA from 1 species